rnacentral:ncRNA from 1 species
AUCGUUCAUCUUAUGUUAAAUAUAAGACGGAAGUAGGAAGAUAGAACGGUGUCUUCGUUCGAGGACACUCAUUGCGCAAUAGCGCUACUCUAAAUAUCUGACGAAGGAACGCGU